CCUCAGGCAGCAAAAUGGGCGGAUGGGAGGGCGGGGAGACAUUUUUUAGACUGUACACUAGUAACUCCCAUGCCUGAGGGAUUCUGGAUUGGUAGUCCAUAAAGAACACACCUAUCCUAUUGGUCCCCAACCUUGGCCCUCUAGAUGUCCUUGGACUUCAACUCCCAGAAAUCCUGGCCAGCAGAGGUGGCGGUGAAGGCUUCUGGGAGUUGUAGUCUGAGAACAUCUGGAGGCCCGACGACAUUGGGGACCAUAUGCAACAGAACCUCUUGGGGGGAGGGGAGGAAGGCAGAAGAGUAGAACGUGGCGGUCGAUUCCUAGAGAGGAGAGAAGAAGGGCCGGAGUGGAACGAGGCACCGGAAGGGGCGUGUCCAGGGCUGAGGCUCCUCCCCCCUGCUCCCCCAUGUGGGGGAGAAGCCAGAGGCUGGUCCCUGGAGGGGGAGCCCAGGCGGAGGGGGCUGGAGCUGCGCCCUCGUUUCCAAAGCGGAGCAGGCGGGGCGCCCCCUUUUGCUCCUUCCCGUGCUUGGGGAGGGACGCCUUUAGCUGGUUUGGAUUGUCCGGCCGGAUCAUGGUGUAGGAAUGGUGUCCUGCGACGCAGCCCUCCGAGCAUCUUUGCCCAUCAGCUCUUCUGGGCUGGGGGUGUAUGGGAUUCGGAGUCUUAAGCCUAUUGGAAGGACAGAUACAGGUUCCCCCAUCACGGCUGAAGGUGGAUGUUUGGUGCAGUGGAGGAAAGCUGGGCCAUCUGCCUUCAUUCUUUAGGGGAAGAAAGGAAUGUUCUCCCCUUUGGGGUAAGAAAGGAUUCCAUGGGGGGAGAAAGGCUGAGGCAUCCGCAAUCCUUUUGUUAUGGAGAUGGCUGGCUGAUAGGUGGAGAGAGGACCCCUAUGGAGCGUGGAAUGUUCUACCUGGAGGAAACCCUGAGCUGAAGAGACAUCGGGUCAGACUCUUCCCCCAACCUAGCUGAAGAUCAGGUCAUUCAGGGCUUUGAAUGAAAGGGAGGACCAAAGAGAGAGAACUGCUUCAAUCUCUUGUAGAGCAACUCGGAAAGAGGUGUCAGCCUCUAGAACUGGCUUUGAAAUCUGGGAACAACUCCCCCCCCCCACUAUCUGUGGGGGGGAUGGAGCAGUGAAUUUGCUGCUUGAAAAAAUGUUUUUUUUUUUAAAAAAUCUCCCUUGGUGAAACUCCUGAUGUGCUGAUUUGCUGAUAUAUGUUGCUCGUUUAAUUUAUUACUGAUAUUUCUUCCAUUACACUUCAUAUCCUCGUCAGUGCUUCUCAACCUUGGGUCUCCCGAUGUUUUUGGACAACGAGUAAUCCUGGCCAGCACUGUUAGUGGAGAAGGCUUCUGGGAGUUGUAGUCCAAGAGCAUCUGGGGACCCCAGGUUGGGAAACAUGGGUUAUAUCUUGUCUUUCUCUGCCCCACUUGAUCUUUAUAGGAACCCUGUGAGGUAGGCCAGGUAGAGACAAGGAUUGGCCCCAAUUUCCUAGUUUUUGGGUGUGUGAGAUCUCAAAGCAGUGCUCCCAAGCUCUACACACCAUGCUGGCUCUCAAAUAUACCAGAUAUAUAUACAGAUACCAGAAGGUAAAAAAAAAUAACAACAUACCCACACCAUCAUGUCCAGUUGUUCUUCCUGGAUCAUCUUAUGCCUGGAAAAAAAACAAAGAAAUGCUCACAGUUAUUAGCCUUAAGAUUAGUCCGCUGUAUUCAGGAUCCAAUAGAAAUAAUAUAAAUCCUAAUGUUUCUUGAUGACAGAUGGAGGCUUGAGGGAGGAGGCAUUGUAAGAAAUGGAAAAGGAGAGAGGGAGAAUGCAGUAAUAUCAGAGCUGGGAAGCUUUGAUUUUUUUUUAAAGACUCCCAGAAAAAAGCUGGCUGCAGGAUUGUGGAGAUGGCAGUCUGGAAAAAAGGGAUAUUUUUGAGUUUCCUUGCAUCUCUUACGUGCUACCAAGUCAUUUCCGACUUCUGCCAAUCCUGUGAAUGAGCGGUCUCCAGAAUGUCGUGUCCUCAAGAGCCCUGCUCAGCUUUUUGCGGACUCAAGUCUCAUGGCUUCGUUUAGAGAGUCAGUCCAUCUCACAUUCCUCUUUUCCUGCUGCCUUCCACUUUUUAAAGCAUUUUUUGCCUUUUCUGGAGAACCCUUCCUUCUCACAACGUGUCCAAAGUGGGACAGCCUCAGUUUCACCAUGUUUUGCCUCCAGUGAUAGUUCAGGCUUGAUUUGGUAAUGAUAGCUAAGUCACAGAUUUUUCAGAGGUGUGUGUGUGGGGGAGGAAUGUGGGAUUUCUAGGACUUAAUGUCCUCACAAAUCCAUUGCUUUAUGGCGUAACCUGAGAGAAGAGGAAUAAAAAAGGUCUUGGAGCCCA
ensembl:lncRNA